UACGUAGGGGGCAAGCGUUGUCCGGAUUUACUGGGCGUAAAGCGCACGUAGGCGGCUUUGUAAGUUAGAGGUGAAAGCCCGGGGCUCAACUCCGGAACUGCCUUUAAGACUGCAUCGCUUGAAUCCAGGAGAGGUGAGUGGAAUUCCGAGUGUAGAGGUGAAAUUCGUAGAUAUUCGGAAGAACACCAGUGGCGAAGGCGGCUCACUGGCCCGGUACUGACGCUGAGGUGCGAAAGCGUGGGGAGCAAACAGG
rnacentral:rRNA from 1 species